rnacentral:rRNA from 1 species
CCUACGGGGGGCAGCAGUGGGGAAUAUUGCACAAUGGGCGAAAGCCUGAUGCAGCCAUGCCGCGUGUGUGAAGAAGGCUCUAGGGUUGUAAAGCACUUUCAAUUGGGAGGAAAAGCUAAUAGUUAAUACCUAUUAGCCUUGACGUUACCUUUAGAAGAAGCACCGGCUAACUCCGUGCCAGCAGCCGCGGUAAUACGGAGGGUGCAAGCGUUAAUCGGAAUUACUGGGCGUAAAGCGCGCGUAGGCGGUUUGGUCAGUUGGAUGUGAAAGCCCCGGGCUUAACCUGGGAACUGCAUUCAAUACUGCCAGACUAGAGUACGAGAGAGGGGGGUAGAAUUUCUAGUGUAGCGGUGAAAUGCGUAGAUAUUAGAAGGAAUACCAGUGGCGAAGGCGGCCCCCUGGCUCGAUACUGACGCUGAGGUGCGAAAGCGUGGGGAGCA